rnacentral:rRNA from 1 species
AUUGAACGCUGGCGGCAUGCCUUACACAUGCAAGUCGAACGGCAGCACGGGAGCAAUCCUGGUGGCGAGUGGCGAACGGGUGAGUAAAGCAUCGGAACGUGCCCAGUCGUGGGGGAUAACGUAGCGAAAGCUACGCUAAUACCGCAUACGAUCUGUGGAUGAAAGCGGGGGACCGUAAGGCCUCGCGUGAUUGGAGCGGCCGAUGUCAGAUUAGGUAGUUGGUGAGGUAAGGGCUCACCAAGCCGACGAUCUGUAGCUGGUCUGAGAGGACGACCAGCCACACUGGGACUGAGACACGGCCCAGACUCCUACGGGAGGCAGCAGUGGGGAAUUUUGGACAAUGGGCGAAAACCUGAUCCAGCAAUGCCGCGUGCAGGAUGAAGGCCUUCGGGUUGUAAACUGCUUUUGUACGGAGCGAAACGGCUUCCACUAAUACUGGGGGCUAAUGACGGUACCGUAAGAAUAAGCACCGGCUAACUACGUGCCAGCAGCCGCCGUAAGAC